UGUUUUUACAAAUAUGUAACAAAAAAGUGAUUUAAAAAAUGAUGCUUAAAAAAAGUGUUAAAGAAAUAUUUAAAAAGUCAAGAAUUAAACCUUCUCCGGCAAGAACUUCCACCUCGGCCACCAUCCUGCUCUUCAUUGAACUCUCUCUCCCGCUCGAUCGGAAUUACUCUCACCUUUCCCGUGAGCUGCGAACUUUUCCUCAUGCACGAGUUAGAGAGUUUUUAACUUCCAUCACCAGCAUCGUGCUCCUUAUUGCACUCUCUCUCCCGCACGAUCAAAAUGGCUGCCAUUUUUCCAGCCAUCUUCCCGCGAGCUUAUAACUAUCCGUCAUUUUGUCUUCGAACUCAUUCCCGCUGCGGCGGUUGACGUUUUUGGUGAAAAUUUGUUAGAGACCGAUUGAAAUAGAAAAUUGAAUAAAAUUUGAAAUUGGAAAGUGAAAAUAACGGUAAGUUUCUUUAUUGCAUCUUGUUUUUUUUUUUAAUUUUAUGGAAUGUGUGAUUUUUCUUUGUAGUUGAUUAAAUUUUUGAGUUAAUUGAAUUUUUUAUAGUACAUUUAAAAUUCGUUUUAAUUUCUUUCGCUGCCCGCUUGCUUGUUUUUUUUUUAAUUUGUUUCUGCUCCCCAUCCGUUUCCAUUUUUCAAUCGUUUCCUUGGGCCCUGCGCUUCACAUUCAAUUGCAUUUAUUGACCGAAGAAAUAUUUUAUUACUUUACGCUUGGCAAAUAUUAGUUGCCCAUCGUGAAAAGGUUGGUUGGCUGCCUAGGGGAGGGGGGUGGGGUUUUAUGGUUGCGUUUUUUUCUUUGCCCUCUCUCUCUCCCCCUUUUAUUUUUUGGGAGGCUCUUUUUUUUCUAGCUGGAGGCUGGAAGAGUGGAUGGAUGGCUGGAAGGAAAGGACGGCAAGGAGGGGAGGAGAGGGGAGCUUAGAGCAAAUUUCUUGUCAUUGACGCAGGCAGCGACAUGAAACGAU